GGUGGUUUGGCGCGUUGUUCGUGAAAUUCCCUGGCUUAACUGGGGGCGUGCGGGCGAUACGGGCAGACUGGAGUACUGCAGGGGAGACUGGAAUUCCUGGUGUAGCGGUGGAAUGCGCAGAUAUCAGGAGGAACACCGGUGGCGAAGGCGGGUCUCUGGGCAGUAACUGACGCUGAGGAGCGAAAGCGUGGGGAGCGAACAGGAUUAGAUACCCUGGUAGUCCACGCCGUAAACGGUGGGUACUAGGUGUGGGUUUCCUUCCUUGGGAUCCGUGCCGUAGCUAACGCAUUAAGUACCCCGCCUGGGGAGUACGGCCGCAAGGCUAAAACUCAAAGGAAUUGACGGGGGCCCGCACAAGCGGCGGAGCAUGUGGAUUAAUUCGAUGCAACGCGAAGAACCUUACCUGGGUUUGACAUGCACAGGACGACCGCAGAGAUGUGGUUUCCCUUGUGGCCUGUGUGCAGGUGGUGCAU
rnacentral:rRNA from 1 species